rnacentral:rRNA from 1 species
UACGGGGGGGGCAAGCGUUGUUCGGAAUUACUGGGCGUAAAGGGUGCGUAGGCGGUUCGCUAAGUUGGAUGUGAAAACUCUGGGCUUAACCCAGAGCCUGCAUUCAAAACUGACGGGCUAGAGUUCUGGAGGGGGUAGCGGAAUUCCUGGUGUAGCGGUGAAAUGCGUAGAUAUCAGGAGGAACACCAAUUGCGAAGGCAGCUCGCUGGGACGUUACUGACGCUGAGACGCGAAAGCGUGGGGAGCAAACAGG